rfam:Hordeum vulgare subsp. vulgare, WGS project CAJW01000000 data, contig: morex_contig_102428
GUUAUACCUUCUUCGUCCGGAAAUACUUGUCUUAGAAAUGGGUGUAUCUGGACUUAUUUUAGUUAUAGAUACAUUCAUUUUAUUCAUUUUUAGGACAAGUAUUAACGGACGGAGGAAGUACGUA